UUUGAGGGGAAUGUUGUCUGGCUCGAGGACCCUUUUCCUUGAAAGAUCUGUAAUCCUAUAGAUCAAUCUUUAUAUCUGUAUAUAUUGAUCAUGACUUUUUGGUGGAGUUAGUGUCGUCGGACCAGGCUUCAUUCCCCCCAAU
rnacentral:pre_miRNA from 1 species